CAAAUCGUGUGAUCCAGAGAAAGAAUGCCAUAUGGAAAAGAGACAACAUUUUAAAUGGAUUUCUAAAGAACUGCAUUUG
rnacentral:lncRNA from 1 species